UGUUUAAGAGCCGCGGUAUUUUGACCGUGCAAAGGUAGCAUAAUCAUUAGUUUUUUAAUUGAAAACUUGUAUGAAGGGUUGGACAAAGAAAAAGCUGUCUUUAUUGUAAAUAUUGAAUUUAACUUUUAAGUGAAAAGGCUUAAAUAGUUCAGGGGGACGAUAAGACCCUAUAAAGCUUUAUAUAUUGAUUAAAUUUGAUUAAAUUAAUAUAUAAAAAUUUAAUUUGAUUAUUAUAUUUUAUUGGGGCGAUAGAGGUAUAAAUUAUUUAACUGCUUAAAUAGUGAAACAAGUGAUAAGUGAAUCUUUAAUAAAUGAUCCUUUUUUGAGAUUAAAAGACUAAGUUACUUUAGGGAUAACAGCGUUAUUUCUUUUGAGAGUCCAUAUCGAAAAAGAAGCUUGCGACCUCGAUGUUGAAUUAAAAUGUCUUUAUAAUGCAGCCGUUAUAUAAGAAGGUCUGUUCGACCUUUAAAUUUUUACGUGAUCU
rnacentral:rRNA from 1 species